rnacentral:rRNA from 1 species
CCCUUAGAUGUUCUGGGCUGCACGCGCGCUACACUGAAGCGUUCAACGAGUAUUCACCUUGCCCGGGAGGGUUGGGUAAUCUUUUGAAAACGCUUCGUGAUGGGGAUAGAUUAUUGCAAUUAUUAAUCUUCAACGAGGAAUUCCUAGUAAGCGCGAGUCAUCAGCUCGUGCUGAUUACGUCCCUGCCCUUUGUACACACCGCCCGUCGCUCCUACCGAUUGAGUGAUUCGGUGAAUAACUCGGACCGAUGCAUUUUCCAGCUUCUGGAAGUUGCAUUGGAAAGUUUAGUGAACCUUAUCACUUAGAGGAAGGAGAAGUCGUAACA